CAAAUAUUUCACCCGAUAUGAUUGUGAAAUUUGUACAAAAAAAAACAUUGUGUAUGUAUUAAUAAAAAUCUAACAUUAUGUGAAAAUAAUUUUUUUUUCCUUAAAUCCUAAAUAAAAGAAAUAUGAAAAAUAAAUUUUUCCUCAUAAAAAAUUGAUUAUUAUUAUUGUCACCGUACAUAUGUUUAGUCAAAAACAAAUCAAGCUUCAUCAUUAUCUUAUUACAUUUUUUAUUUUUACUAUGUAGUACUUUAUAAUUUAUUUUAAUUAAAAUGUUAUUAUGAAAAUAUAUCAUUAAUAAAAAAUGAAUCAAAAAAAUUAUUUAACAUCAGAUAAGUUUAAUAAAACAUUAAAUUAGUACAUAAGAAAGUGUAUAAUGUUGUCAUUGCUUCUUGGUCUUAUUUAACUUCCAAAUUCCUUUUUAUUUCAUUAUAAUUAUUAUUUCGGGUUGGAUCCGGUUUAAAUUUUUACGUUUGGAUAUUUUUUCUAGCUCUAACAAAUACUAACUGAAACUUAUGUGUGAAAACGAGUUCUUAACUAUAAAAUAAAUUUCACAUGACAUAUAUAAAAACAAUUUUAAAACAAGAAUAAAAUAAUUUUUUAAUAUUUUUUAUUAAAUUAAAAUAUCAAGUAAAACCCGUUGCAACGUACGGGCCCAAAUCUAGUUAGAAAUAAAUUGACAUUUGACUAAUACCUUUUCUAUUUCCUAUUAAGUGUAACUAUAGAUUUUAAAAUAUAUUCCAUUAUUAUUUUCUAUAUUUUAAAUGCAUUUAUUCAAUAGAUUUUUUAAAUUAUCUUAAUUUUAGUUUAUUAGUUAACAAAAUAAACAAAUAGUAUACUAGUAGUUAGAGACAAACAGAAAAUUUAAUGGGUUUUUAAUGUGUAAAUUUUUAACUGAUAUUCAUUGAUUGUAAAAAGGAGAAAGUAAAUAAAAUGACAUUUAAACUUCAAUUCGUGCAGGUUGAUGGCAGGUGCAAGAGAUGUGGAGAAAGUGAAUCCGUUAUUCAUGUUAUGUUCCACUGUCCAUUUGCAAGGAGAAUCUGGGAAGCUUGUCAUGCAAUGUUUGUACCAUCUACUAGCUCAGUCUCUUCGACUGAGGAACUACCCAAGACGUGCACUAAAAUGCAUAAUCUCCUGCCGGUGGGCUUGUCGGUACCGAUGUACCCUUGGAUCUUGUGGGUUCUAUGGACAAGCAGAAACCAAUUAUGCUUCGAAGAUAAGUCUUUUUCGGAAUCAGAUGUGUUGACCAAAGCCAUUAAAAGUGCUCAUGAAUGGCAAAAUGCUAAUACAAAGCACCAAAACCCCCUCUGAUUCGCCCAAAGACUGUCAAAGCAAAGCAGUUCGAAUACAUACCCCAGCCGUCCCACAGGUAAACAACAAUAUCUUCUCUUGUUACUCCGAUGCUGCUUGGAACAGCUCCACCGGUGCAGGAGGAUUAGGAUGGAUUUGUUUGAAACCAGAUGGAGCUACGCUAGUCCAGGGCUCGACUUCAACUGAAGUGGUAGCAUCUGUGCUGAUUGCGGAAGCGCUGGCAUUGAAGGCAGCUAUGGAAGCUGCGAUAUCACACAAAGUUAAAGACUUGAUUUGUUUCUCUAAUUCAAAAAGUCUCAUCUCUCUCAUCACAGGAAACAAGUCUGUGAUUGAGCUCCAAAGAAUCCUCCAUGACAUCUGUGUGUUGCGCCUCUCCUUGACUUCUAUCUCUUUUAAAUUUUAUCAAUUGCACCUGUAAUGCGCCCGCUGAUCAGUUGGCUAAAGAUGCUCUGUUUUUGUUGCAAAACUCUGUUGCUAGAGAUGUAACCGUUAUUUAAGUUUCUAAAGGAAAGGUUUGAUAGAAAAAGAAACUUUUCUAAAUAAAAUAAUGUAAACAUAAACCAGGAGAGAGAGGGGGUGGGGGUGUCUUCGAUCGUAGUCGUUUCUCUCUUCUCUCUCUCUCGUGAUUCUCUCCCUCUCCGCUUCACUCUCGACGACGAUCAUGGAGACGUCGAGGCUACCGUUGUCGUCUUUCGUCUUCGAUUAGAGGAAAGCUGAUAUCGGCUGGUUAUACUUCUCUGUCGUCGAUUUCAUCUGUCGAUUUAACUACUUUGGGGAUCGAUAAGGCGGCAGCCGAUGGGGAGCUAAGAGUAUUUAUCGUCGCCGGCGAUAACAUCGGCUCUCGUCUUAUGUAAAAUCAAUGAUGGUGCAAGCAAGGAUUGACUUCGUUGUUUCCCAUGGAGGAUUUGGCUGUAAUGGGGUGAAGUUGAAGGAGACUAUUGAUGCUGCAGUUAUGUUUAAGCCACACGUUGUUGUGACUGUUGAUUGAAAGGGCUUCUCUUUCCGUCUACUUAAAGAGUUGAGAGCUGGACUAUUUUGGAACAAUCUUGAGUCUCUAUGCUGUCUAAGCUUGAUGUUAACUCCGGACAACUUACGCUUCAUGUGCUUUGAAUGUUGGUUGAAUGAGACCAUUUGAAAAUCUUACUUGUAUUCUUGCUUUGCAUCUUCUGCUGGUUCUUUUCCAAUAUGAAGAAGAGUUUGUUAAAUAUUCUGGUUGAUUGAGUUGCUUUACUUGCUUCUGUUUCCUCCCCCUUGAAUAUGUAUUUAUUUUUUCAGUUGUUUUGCAAAUGUGAUUCUACAAUGCCUAUCAUGGACACGUCCUCUUGUUCAUACCUACUAGAGAGAAUUCUAUCUUUUGCUAAUCAAUGCUUCAAACUCGUUCGUUUGGUUUU